rnacentral:rRNA from 1 species
GAUGAACGCUGGCGGCGUGCCUAAUACAUGCAAGUCGAGCGAACGGAUAAGGAGCUUGCUCCUUUGAAGUUAGCGGCGGACGGGUGAGUAACACGUGGGUAACCUACCUAUAAGACUGGAAUAACUUCGGGAAACCGGAGCUAAUGCCGGAUAACAUUUGGAACCGCAUGGUUCUAAAGUAAAAGAUGGUUUUGCUAUCUCUUAUAGAUGGACCCGCGCCGUAUUAGCUAGUUGGUAAGGUAACGGCUUACCAAGGCAACGAUACGUAGCCGACCUGAGAGGGUGAUCGGCCACACUGGAACUGAGACACGGUCCAGACUCCUACGGGAGGCAGCAGUAGGGAAUCUUCUGCAAUGGACGAAAGUCUGACGGAGCAACGCCGCGUGAGUGAUGAAGGUUUACGGAUCGUAAAACUCUGUUAUUAGGGAAGAACAAAUGUGUAAGUAACUGUGCACAUCUUGACGGUACCUAAUCAGAAAGCCACGGCUAACUACGUGCCAGCCGCCGCGGUAA